rnacentral:rRNA from 1 species
CCUACGGGUGGCAGCAGUGGGGAAUAUUGGGCAAUGGGCGCAAGCCUGACCCAGCAACGCCGCGUGAAGGAAGAAGGCUUUCGGGUUGUUAACUUCUUUUCUCAGGGACGAAGAAAGUGACGGUACCUGCGGAAUAAGCCACGGCUAACUACGUGCCAGCAGCCGCGGUAAUACGUAGGUGGCAAGCGUUAUCCGGAUUUAUUGGGUGUAAAGGGCGUGUAGGCGGGAGCGCAAGUCAGAUGUGAAAACUCAGGGCUCAACCCUGAGCCUGCAUUUGAAACUGUGUUUCUUGAGUGCUGGAGAGGCAAUCGGAAUGCCGUGUGUAGCGGUGAAAUGCGUAGAUAUACGGAGGAACACCAGUGGCGAAGGCGGAUUGCUGGACAGUAACUGACGCUGAGGCGCGAAAGCGUGGGGAGCAAACAGGAUUAGAUACCCUAGUAGUC